GGGAAACUGCCUGAUGGAGGGGGAUAACUACUGGAAACGGUAGCCAAUACCGCAUAACGUCGCAAGACCAAAGAGGGGGACCUUCGGGCCUCUUGCCAUCAGAUGUGCCCAGAUGGGAUUAGCUAGUAGGUGGGGUAACGGCUCACCUAGGCGAUGAUCCCUAGCUGGUCUGAGAGGAUGACCAGCCACACUGGAACUGAGACACGGUCCAGACUCCUACGGGAGGCAGCAGUGGGGAAUAUUGCACAGUGGGCGCAAGCCUGAUGCAGCCAUGCCGCGUGUAUGAAGAAGGCCUUCGGGUUGUAAAGUACUUUCAGCGGGGAGGAAGGUGUUGUGGUUAAUAACCGCAGCAAUUGACGUUACCCGCAGAAGAAGCACCGGCUAACUCCGUGCCAGCAGCCGCGGUAAUACGGAGGGUGCAAGCGUUAAUCGGAAUUACUGGGCGUAAAGCGCACGCAGGCGGUCUGUCAAGUCGGAUGUGAAAUCCCCGGGCUCAACCUGGGAACUGCAUUCGAAACUGGCAGGCUAGAGUCUUGUAGAGGGGGGUAGAAUUCCAGGU
rnacentral:rRNA from 1 species